GCCAGCCUGAUGGGCCGUCUCACCUGAAACUGACGGACGCACGCACGACACGAUUCUGUCAGGAGAAGCCAGCGCUCGCGCGGCCGCCGCGGACCUAACUCCUACCGACGCACUCAAGAUCAAUCUCCAGAGUCCAGACUCCAGCACCAGCGCAGGCCACCGGCGCCGCCGUCCGUCGCCGUCCCGGCCACUGCCGGACCGCCCUCCUGUGCGUCGUUUGUCCAAUCUUCCGCAUGGCGCGCCUGGCUGCUUGUUGUCGCACCUUGAAAAACAAGAUGAAGAGAUUUCAUAUUGAGUGAGAUGUAUUUGCAAGUAUUGAUGAUGAUGAUAUUGUAUAUCAAUUUGUAUCAUCUAGGUCUCGCAAAGGGCUUUUACCUCGUCGAAGUGGUGUUGGCUCUUCUUCCUCCGAUGAUGAGAUUAUGUGAGGUACUGGUGAAGCAAACCGGAGGCGUUGGCUCUUCUUUUGAUUUGGUUAUCUUCCGAGACACCGCGUUGAUCCGUAUAUGGUCGCUAUUCACUCCGACGGAGGUCAGGAAGCAUUUGGUUACUGGAUCUAUCUGAUGGGAGAUGGUAGCACGGGCUAUUUUCAACCGGUUUGGAUGGCGGUCAUGUAAUAGGAUAGACAAUUAGUUUUCCUAUCUUUUUUAUGCCAGCCGGUUCUGGCUUUACUUUUUUCGUCUGCUCUUUGUGAGCAUUUUUUGUUCUUUUGUUUCAGACAUCAAGACUUGUGUUGAACCUAUUUGAUUAUUAAUC